rnacentral:rRNA from 1 species
UACGUAGGAGGCGAGCGUUGUCCGGAGUUACUGGGCGUAAAGGGCGCGUAGGCGGCCAGCACAAGUCAGUUGUGAAAUCUCCGAGCUUAACUCGGAAAGGUCAACUGAUACUGUGCGGCUAGAGUGCAGAAGGGGCAACUGGAAUUCUUGGUGUAGCGGUGAAAUGCGUAGAUAUCAAGAGGAACACCUGCGGCGAAGGCGGGUUGCUGGGCUGACACUGACGCUGAGGCGCGAAAGCUAGGGGAGCGAACGGG